UGGGGAAUCUUGCGCAAUGGGCGAAAGCCUGACGCAGCGACGCCGCGUGCGGGAAGAAGGCCUUCGGGUUGUAAACCGCUUUCAGGAGGGACGAAGCCACUCGGGUUAAUAGCCCAGAGGGUGACGGUACCUCCAGAAGAAGCCCCGGCUAACUACGUGCCAGCAGCCGCGGUAAUACGUAGGGGGCAAGCGUUGUCCGGAUUUAUUGGGCGUAAAGCGCGUGUAGGCGGCCAGGUAAGUCGGCUGUGAAAAACUCGAGGCUCAACCUCGAGAUGUCGGCCGAAACUAUCUGGCUAGAGUCCGGAAGAGGAGAAUGGAAUUCCCGGUGUAGCGGUGAAAAUGCGCAGAUAUCGGGAAGAACACCCGUGGCGAAAGGCGGUUCUCUGGGACGGUACUGACGCUGAGACGCGAAAAGCGUGGGGAGCGAACAGGAUUAGAUACCCUGGUAGUCCACGCCGUAAACGAUGGGAACUAGGUGUGGCGGUGUCGACUCCGUCCGUGCCCGAAGCUAAACGCAUUAAGUUCCCCGCCG
rnacentral:rRNA from 1 species